CAAGCUGUCAGCCAUGCCUGAUGUGGUCC
rnacentral:piRNA from 1 species